rnacentral:rRNA from 1 species
UCUCCUGGAAACGGGUGGUAAUGCCGGAUGUUCCACAUGAGCGCAUGCGAGUGUGGGAAAGGCUUUUUGCGGCAUGGGAUGGGGUCGCGUCCUAUCAGCUUGUUGGUGGGGUAACGGCCUACCAAGGCGUUGACGGGUAGCCGGCCUGAGAGGGCGACCGGCCACAUUGGGACUGAGAUACGGCCCAGACUCCUACGGGAGGCAGCAGUGGGGAAUAUUGCACAAUGGGCGCAAGCCUGAUGCAGCGACGCCGCGUGCGGGAUGGAGGCCUUCGGGUUGUAAACCGCUUUUGUUCAAGGGCAAGGCACGGUUUCGGCCGUGUUGAGUGGAUUGUUCGAAUAAGCACCGGCUAACUACGUGCCAGCAGCCGCGGUAAUACGUAGGGUGCAAGCGUUAUCCGGAUUUAUUGGGCGUAAAGGGCUCGUAGCGGUUCGUCGCGUCCGGUGUGAAAGUCCAUCGCUUAACGGUGGAUCCGCGCCGGGUACGGGCGGGCUUGAGUGCGGUAGGGAGACUGGAAUUCCCGGUGUAACGGUGGAAUGUGUAGAUAUCGGGAAGAACACCA